UACAGAGGGGGCAAGCGUUAUUCGGAAUUAUUGGGCGUAAAGGGCGCGUAGGCGGCCUGGCAAGUGGAAGGUGAAAUCCCUCGGCUUAACCGAGGAACUGCCCUCCAAACUGCUUGGCUUGAGACCGGGAGAGGUGAGUGGAAUUCCCAGUGUAGCGGUGAAAUGCGUAGAUAUUGGGAGGAACACCAGUGGCGAAGGCGGCUCACUGGACCGGUACUGACGCUGAGGCGCGAAAGCGUGGGGAGCAAACGGGG
rnacentral:rRNA from 1 species